rnacentral:rRNA from 1 species
CCUACGGGAGGCAGCAGUGGGGGAUAUUGCACAAUGGGGGGAACCCUGAUGCAGCGACGCCGCGUGUGGGAAGACGGUCCUCUGGAUUGUAAACCACUUUCCCCAGGGACGAAAAUGACGGUACCUGGGGAGGAAGCUCCGGCAAACUACGUGCCAGCAGCCGCGGUAAUACGGAGGGAGCGAGCGAUGUCCGGAAUUACUGGGUGUAACGGGAGCGUAGGCGGGGAUGCAAGUUGGGUGUAAAAACUACCGGCUCAACUGGGAGUCGCACUCGAAACUGCAGCUCUUGAGUGAAGUAGAGGCAGGCGGAAUUCCUGGUGUAGCGGUGAAAUGCGUAGAUAUUAGGAAGAACACCAGUUGCGAAGGCGGCCUGCUGGGCUUUUACUGACGCUGAGGCUCGAAAGUGUGGGGAGCAAACAGGAUUAGAUACCCUGGUAGUC